rnacentral:lncRNA from 1 species
AAAAUACAUAUCCUCCUAUAAUUAUAUGUAUAUCACUAUAAUACAGAGCGCUUUUGAGCCCACCCGAAACAUUUUGGACGGGUAUAUCAGUGAGUUGUAUUUAUAUAUACAUGCAUGCAUGUAAAUAUGUCUCUAUACACGUUACUACAAACCAAAUCAUUUGUGACCGAAAAAGCCAUCACAAAAUCCUAAUUGGCGUAGAUCUUGUCUAGACGAAAACCUCGUGGCCAAUCCCUUUUCCAACGGAUUUAGUUUAGAAAGAUGGAGACUAAAUAUAGUGUCAAUGUAACAACGGAUUUGCAAUGCAAGAGUUGGUGACUGUUGCCGGACCAAAUAGUGACCUUUUGCGACACAAUAGUGAUGGUUUUUGGGACCAAAUAACGACAGAUCAUGCGACUCGUGUUUUUUGGAAGUAACCAAAUGACGAUAAAUUUAUGGUUUUUGUGACCAAAUAACGACGGUUCUUGAAAAGGUUUUGGGACCAAAUAGCGAUAGUUCUUUAAUAUGUUUUAUAGACCAAAUGCUACAAGUUUUGGGACCAUAUAACAACCCGUUUUUCAGAACAAAUAAAUUUUGAAUGAAAGAAUAGCGGAGCUAAAAUGGAGUCCAAGGCCCCGACAAGAAGUGGCGCGAUUUGUGUUGUUCUUGCUUUGUGUCGCGGGAAUACUUGGGGUGAGAAUUUAGAAAGAGUAGAGAUGGUUGGUUUUUCAUUUUAGAGAGAAAUGGGGAAUAAAACUGGCCGGUCGUGGACGGAAAGGUCGUUGGAACUCUUGGUCCGGGUGAGUGUUUGCAGUGGCGGAUAUAGAACUCUUGGCCCUCACUAUUUGCACACCUUGGCAGGCUAUCUGCACACUUAGGGUUUACAUACGCUGCGUAUUGGUCAAUACGCAGCGUAUAGGGUUACCUCAAUACGCUGCGUAUAGAGCUAUACUCAGCGUAUAUAAACCAUGGAUUUCAGAGCCUUAUCAGCAAUCAUUGCACAGAAAACACGGGUUAUAUACGUUGCGUAUAGGUCAAUACGCAGCGUAUAUAAACCAUUAGAUUUUUUUUAGUCAUUUUGGUAGGUUUGAGGGAUCAUUUUUUCACAAAGUUUAAAUACGCUGCGUAUAGACCUCUAAGGAGCGUAUAUAAAGUUCUGAAAAUGUCUUUUAUACCCUUGUAUUUGGCUUCGUACAUGUAACACCCCAAAAAUCUAUAAAAGAUUAUUUGAAUGAUCAAUUGUUUUAAAUAAAUUAUAUUUAAGUCAUAAAUAAACAUGGAAGUUUAAAGAGUUAGGAAAUAACCU